rnacentral:rRNA from 1 species
ACGCUCGACACCUACGGGAAGCAGCAGUGAGGGAUAUUGGUCAAUGGGGGAAACCCUGAACCAGCAACGCCGCGUGAGGGAUGACGGUCUUCGGAUUGUAAACCUCUGUCCUCUGUGAAGAUAAUGACGGUAGCAGAGGAGGAAGCUCCGGCUAACUACGUGUCAGCAGCCGCGGUAAUCUGAGCGGGCUGGCAAGGC